GACGAACGCUGGCGGCGUGCUUAACACAUGCAAGUCGAACGGAAGGGCCCUGCGUUUGUGGGGUUCUCGAGUGGCGAACGGGUGAGUAACACGUGAGUAACCUGCUCUUGACUUUGGGAUAACUUCAGGAAACUGGGGCUAAUACCGGAUAGGAGCUCCUGCUGCAUGGUGGGGGUUGGAAAGUUUCGGCGGUUGGGGAUGGACGCGCGGCUUAUCAGCUUGUUGGUGGGGGAGUGGCUUACCAAGGCUUUGACGGGUAGCCGGCAUGUGAGGGUGGACGGCCACCUUGGGCCUGAGAUACGGAGCAGUCUCGUACGGGAGGCAGCAGUCGGGAAUAUUGCACAAUGAGCGGAAGUCUGAUGCAGAAGCGCUGCGGGCGGGAUGACGGCCUUUGGGUUGUAAACAGCUUUAGCCUGAGACGCAGCGUGAGUGACGGUAAUGAGUGAAGAAGCACCGGCUAACUACGUG
rnacentral:rRNA from 1 species